CGUGUGUGAAGAAGGCCUUCGGGUUGUAAAGCACUUUCAGUCGUGAGGAAGGUGGUGUAGUUAAUAGCUGCUUUAUUUGACGUUAGCGACAGAAGAAGCACCGGCUAACUCCGUGCCAGCAGCCGCGGUAAUACGGAGGGUGCGAGCGUUAAUCGGAAUUACUGGGCGUAAAGCGCAUGCAGGUGGUUUGUUAAGUCAGAUGUGAAAGCCCGGGGCUCAACCUCGGAAUAGCAUUUGAAACUGGCAGACUAGAGUACUGUAGAGGGGGGUAGAAUUUCAGGUGUAGCGGUGAAAUGCGUAGAGAUCUGAAGGAAUACCGGUGGCGAAGGCGGCCCCCUGGACAGAUACUGACACUCAGAUGCGAAAGCGUGGGGAGCAAACAGGAUUAGAUACCCUGGUAGUCCACGCCGUAAACGAUGUCUACUUGGAGGUUGUGGCCUUGAGCCGUGGCUUUCGGAGCUAACGCGUUAAGUAGACCGCCUGGGGAGUACGGUCGCAAGAUUAAAACUCAAAUGAAUUGACGGGGGCCCGCACAAGCGGUGGAGCAUGUGGUUUAAUUCGAUGCAACGCGAAGAACCUUACCUACUCUUGACAUCCAGAGAAACUUUCCAGAGAUGGAUUGGUGCCUUCGGGGAACUCUGAGACAGGUGCUGCAUGGCUGUCGUCAGCUCGUGUUGUGAAAUGUUGGGUUUAAGUCCCGCAACUAGCGCAACCCUUAUCCUUGUUUGCCAGCGAGUUAUGUCGGGAACUCCCAGGGAGACUGCCGGUGAUAAACCGGGAG
rnacentral:rRNA from 1 species